UACAGAGGUCCCAAGCGUUGUUCGGAUUCACUGGGCGUAAAGGGUGCGUAGGUGGCCAGGUAAGUUCGGUGUGAAAGCUCGGAGCUUAACUCCGAAAUGGCAUUGAAUACUAUCUGGCUAGAGGGUCGGAGGGGAGACUGGAAUUCUCGGUGUAGCAGUGAAAUGCGUAGAUAUCGAGAGGAACACCAGUGGCGGAAGGCGAGUCUCUGGACGACUCCUGACACUGAGGCACGAAAGCCAGGGGAGCGAAACAG
rnacentral:rRNA from 1 species